rnacentral:rRNA from 1 species
AUUGAACGCUGGCGGCAGGCCUAACACAUGCAAGUCGAGCGGAUGAGGGAAGCUUGCUUCCCGAUUUAGCGGCGGACGGGUGAGUAAUGCGUAGGAAUCUGCCUAUUAGUGGGGGAUUACGUUACGCAAGGAACGCUGGUACGGAAUACGUCCCUCGGGCCAAAGUGGGGGAUCUUCGGACCUCACGCUGAUAGAUGAGCCUAGGUCGGAUUAGCUAGUUGGUGAGGUAACGGCACACCAAGGCGACGAUCCGUAGCUGGUAUGAGAGGAUGAUCAGCCACACUGGAACUGAGACACGGUCCAGACUCCUACGGGAGGCAGCAGUGGGGAAUAUUGGACAAUGGGGGGAACCCUGAUCCAGCCAUGCCGCGUGUGUGAAGAAGGUCUUCGGAUUGUAAAGCACUUUAAGUUGGGAGGAAGGGUAUUCACCUAAUACGUGGGUACUUUGACGUUACCAACAGAAUAAGCACCGGCUAACUCCGUGCCAGCCGCCGCAGUAAGAC